rnacentral:rRNA from 1 species
CCUACGGGAGGCAGCAGUGAGGAAUAUUGGUCAAUGGACGCAACUCUGAACCAGCCAAGUAGCGUGCAGGAUGACUGCCCUAUGGGUUGUAAACUUCUUUUAUGCGGGGAUAAACUGCGUCACGUGUGGCUUGUUUCAGGUACCGCAUGAAUAAGGACCGGCUAAUUCCGUGCCAGCAGCCGCGGUAAUACGGAAGGUCCGGGCGUUUUCCGGAUUUAUUGGGUUUAAAGGGAGCGGUGGCCGCAAGUUCAGCGUGUCGGGAAAUGCCGGGGCUCAACCGUGGCACUGCCGCGCGAACUGGCGUUCUUGAGUGGGCGGGAGGUAGGCGGAAUGCGUGGUGUAGCGGUGAAAUGCUUAGAUAUCACGAAGAACUCCGAUUGCGAAGGCAGCAUACCGUAGCGUUACUGACGCUGAAGCUCGAAGGCGCGGGUAUCGAACAGGAUUAGAUACCCGUGUAGUC